CCAUUCAUUCAAAGAGUGCGUAACAGCUCACUAGUCGAGGGUCCGGGCAUGGAUAAUAAUCGGGUAUAAGUCAGAUGCCGAAGGCGCGGGAUAGCAAUGUAUAUUAAAAGUAUCGGUAGGGGAGCAUUCCAUCGGCGUUGAAUGGUGAGGGUAACCGAUCCUGGAGCUUAUGGAAAAGCAAAUGUAGGUAUAAGUAACGAUAAAAAGGGUGAGAUUCCCUUUCGCCGAAAGACCGAGGUUUCCCGGGCGAUGCCAAUCAGCCCGGGGUUAGUCGGGUCCUAAGUCUCAGCCGAACGGCGAAGGCGAUGGCAGAUGCGGUUAAUAUUCCGCAACUCGCAUAUACAGUGAUGUGGAGACGGAGCAGUGACACUGCCGCGCCCUGACGGAAUAGGGCGUUUAAGUGCGUAGGCUAUGAGGGAGGCAGGCAAAUCCACCUUCCGAGCUGAACCAUGAAAGUACAGGUAAUCCUUCGGGAUAACUUGAGUGCAGGUAAUCAUACUUCCGAGAAAAUCCGCUAAACUUAAUGUAUAUGCGACCCGUACCGCAAACGGACACACGUGGUCGGGUAGAAUAUACUAAGGCGUUGAGAGAUUCAUGGUUAAGGAACUAGGCAAAUUGACCCCGUAACUUCGGGAUAAGGGGUCCUCAUAGCAAUAUGAGGCGCAGAGAAUCGGUCCAGGCAACUGUUUAACAAAAACACAGGGCUGUGCAAACUCGAAAGAUGAAGUAUACAGCCUGACACCUGCCCGGUGCCGGAAGGUUAAGAGGAGAUGUCACCAGCAAUGGGAAGCAUUGAAUUGAAGCCCCGGUAAACGGCGGCCGUAACUAUAACGGUCCUAAGGUAGCGAAAUUCCUUGUCGGGUAAGUUCCGACCUGCACGAAUGGUGUAAUGAUCUGGACGCUGUCUCAACCAUGAGCUCAGUGAAAUUGUAGUAUCGGUGAAGAUGCCGAUUACCCGCGAUGGGACGAAAAGACCCCGUGAACCUUUACUACAGCUUAGCAUUGACCUUGGUCAUCCGAUGUGUAGGAUAGGCCGGAGGCUUCGAAGCGGGUGCGCCAGCAUUCGUGGAGCCAUCCUUGAAAUACGGCCCUUUGGCUGUCUGAGGUCUAACGCGCCUGUGGCGCGGACACUGCUUGGUGGGUAGUUUGACUGGGGUGGUCGCCUCCAAAAGCGUAACGGAGGCUUCCAAAGGUGCCCUCGGGCCGAUUGGUAACCGGCCUUAUAGAGUGCAAUGGCAUAAGGGCGCUUGACUGGGAGGCAGACAUGCCGAGCAGGCAGGAAACUGGGGCAUAGUGAUCCGGCGGACGUGUAUGGAAACUCCGUCGCUCAAAGGAUAAAAGGUACUCCGGGGAUAACAGGCUGAUCCCCCCCAAGAGCUCAUAUCGACGGGGUG
rnacentral:rRNA from 1 species